UCCCUGGUGGUCCAGUGGCUAAGACGCCAGGCUCCCAGGGCAGGGGGCCCAGGUUCAAUCCCUGGUCUGGGAA
rnacentral:tRNA from 1 species